UACGGGGGGGGGCAAGCGUUGUUCGGAAUUACUGGGCGUAAAGGCUCGUAGGUGGCCAACUAAGUCAGACGUGAAAUCCCUCGGCUUAACCGGGGAACUGCGUCUGAUACUGGAUGGCUAGAGAUUGGGAGAGGGAUGCGGAAUUCCAGGUGUAGCGGUGAAAUGCGUAGAUAUCUGGAGGAACACCGGUGGCGAAGGCGGCAUCCUGGACCAACACUGACGCUGAGGAGCGAAAGCCAGGGGAGCAAACGGG
rnacentral:rRNA from 1 species